UCCGUAGGCGGUUUUUUAAGUCAGAGGUGAAAUCCUGCAGCUCAACUGUAGAAUUGCCUUUGAAACUGAGAGACUUGAGUUAUUGUGAAGUGGUUAGAAUGUGUGGUGUAGCGGUGAAAUGCAUAGAUAUCACACAGAAUACCAAUUGCGAAGGCAGAUCACUAACAAUAUACUGACGCUCAGGGACGAAAGCGUGGGUAGCGAACAGGAUUAGAUACCCUGGUAGUCCACGCCGUAAACGAUGGAUACUAGCUGUAUGUCUACUUCAGGUGGAUGUGUGGCCAAGCGAAAGUGAUAAGUAUCCCACCUGGGGAGUACGAUCGCAAGAUUGAAACUCAAAGGAAUUGACGGGGGCCCGCACAAGCGGUGGAGCAUGUGGUUUAAUUCGAUGA
rnacentral:rRNA from 1 species